UACGGGUGGAGCAAGCGUUGUUCGGAUUUACUGGGCGUAAAGGGCGCGUAGGCGGCCAGCACAAGUCAGUUGUGAAAUCUCCGGGCUUAACUCGGAAAGGUCAACUGAUACUGUGCGGCUAGAGUGCAGAAGGGGCAACUGGAAUUCUCGGUGUAGCGGUGAAAUGCGUAGAUAUCGAGAGGAACACCUGCGGCGAAGGCGGGUUGCUGGGCUGACACUGACGCUGAUGCGCGAAAGCCAGGGGAGCAAACGGG
rnacentral:rRNA from 1 species